rnacentral:rRNA from 1 species
CCAAUAGCGUAUAUUAAAGUUGUUGCAGUUAAAAAGCUCGUAGUUGAACUUCGGGGUCUACCCAUUGGUCAGGCUUAAUUGUCUGUACUGGUGAGAUGGAUCUCUACCUUCUGAGGAACUUUCAUGCCAUUUAUUUGGUGUGGUUGGAAAUCAGGACUGUUACUUUGAAAAAAUUAGAGUGUUUAAAGCAGACUAUCGUCUGAAUACAUUAGCAUGGAAUAAUGAAAUAGGACGGACUGAUUCUAUUUCGUUGGUUUCUAGGAUCACCGUAAUGAUUAAUAGGGAUAGUUGGGGGCAUUAGUAUUCAAUUGUCAGAGGUGAAAUUCUUGGAUUUAUUGAAGACUAACUACUGCGAAAGCAUUUGCCAAGGAUGUUUUCAUUAAUCAAGAACGAAGGUUAGGGGAUCGAAGACGAUCAGAUACCGUCGUAGUCUUAACCACAAACUAUGCCGACUAGGGAUCGGGCGAAGUUAAUUUUAUAAUGACGCGUUCGGCACCUUACG